AGUCACAUCGCUGUCACCGCCUCUGACAAUCGACGUCACCAUGAAGGCUUUCGUCUGCUCUCUCCUCGUUGUCCUGCUGGUGGCGGCCGUGUUGGCCCAGGAGAAGGCCAAGGAGACCCUGAAGGGCGCCGAGGCCUACUACGCCUACGCCGCCCCCUACGCCUACAGCGCCUUCGGCUACCCCGCCGUCAGCGCCUACUCCGCCUUCCCCUACCCAUACUUCUACCGCUGAGUGUGGACGUGUGGGACUAUGUUGGAACGCCGCUCCACAAACACCUAGUUCGUUUCCGUCUUCUUCUCCGUUGUCUUUUUCCAAUAAAAUUUGAUAUAAAAUAAA